rnacentral:rRNA from 1 species
CCUACGGGAGGCAGCAGUGGGGAAUAUUGGACAAUGGGGGGAACCCUGAUCCAGCCAUGCCGCGUGUGUGAAGAAGGCCCUCGGGUUGUAAAGCACUUUCAGUGAGGAAGAACGCCUGGUGGUGAAUACCCAUCAGGAAAGACAUCACUCACAGAAGAAGCACCGGCUAACAUCCGUGCCAGCAGCCGCGGUAAUACGGAGGGUGCGAGCGUUAAUCGGAAUUACUGGGCGUAAAGCGCGCGUAGGUGGCUUGAUAAGCCGGUUGUGAAAGCCCCGGGCUCAACCUGGGAACGGCAUCCGGAACUGUCAAGCUAGAGUGCAGGAGAGGAAGGUAGAAUUCCCGGUGUAGCGGUGAAAUGCGUAGAGAUCGGGAGGAAUACCAGUGGCGAAGGCGGCCUUCUGGACUGACACUGACACUGAGGUGCGAAAGCGUGGGUAGCAAACAGGAUUAGAUACCCGUGUAGUC